AUGACGAGAUGACCAAGCCGAAACCGAGAGUCUCUUGACGAAAGAGAGAAUUAAAACGAAACAAACGAACUUUAUGUGUGGGUGUCCACGUUCUUCAUUUGAUACUGACGUUUUUGUUCUUACAUCUUACGUAAUAUUAAAAAAAAAAACAUUUGCUUUCGAUACUUCACACAAACAUGAUUUCCCUUCGCAAUUGAUCUCAUUACAACAGUAUUCGAAACCGUCGGUAGUACUAAAAAAUGUUUCAAACGAAAUUUAAGUGGUUUUAGGGGGCAUGUAAUUUGAUAUUAACAUACUUUGAAACUCAGGCAUAAUAUUGACAACUUUACCAAUACUUUCUCUAGAUGAUGAAAUAAUGCUUUUACGAUGUGUACUAUUUGACACAUAUUCUAUCGAAUUAGGAGAAUUAUGGGAAUGAUUGGACAUUGGUGUCUGUAUAGUUAAUGGAAUAGAUGGUAACUCCAUAUUUUUAGCAGCUAGAAGCUUCUUGAUAUAAGCUUCUGCUUCCACAUGGUGAAUUGUAAAUUCUGCAAUAUUUUGCGAAAGAAUAAAAUUUUGUUCUUGUAGUUCACGCAGUUCUAUCUCUUUCUAUAUAAAAUAAAAGUAUUAUUAACGCAAA